CCUUGGGGGAAAGGAAGCUUCGGCCUCCGCAUCGGGAUGGGCCCGCGGCGCAUUAGCUUGUUGGUGGGGUAAUGGCUUACCAAGGCGACGAUGCGUAGCUGGUCUGAGAGGACGAUCAGCCACACUGGGACUGGGACACGGCCCAGACUCCUACGGGAGGCAGCAGUGGGGAAUCUUGCACAAUGCGCGAAAGCGUGAUGCAGCAACGCCGCGUGCGGGGAGAAGGCCUUAGGGUUGUAAACCGCUUUCAGUUGGGACGAAGCUUCAGUCGUUAAUAGCGGUUUGGAGUGACGGUACCUUCAGAAGAAGCGCCGGCUAACUACGUGCCAGCAGCCGCGGUAAUACGUAGGGCGCGAGCGCUGUCCGGAAUCAUUGGGCGUAAAGCGCGUGUAGGCGGCUGAGUAAGUCUGCUGUGAAAGUCUAGGGCUCAACCCUGGAAUGUCGGCGGAUACUGCUCAGCUGGAGUACGGGAGGGGCGAGUGGAAUUCCUGGUGUAGCGGUGGAAUGCGCAGAUAUCAGGAGGAACACCUAUGGCGAAGGCAGCUCGCUGGAACGUUACUGACGCUGAGACGCGAAAGCGUGGGGAGCAAACAGGAUUAGAUACCCUGGUAGUCCACGCUGUAAACGAUGGAUACUAGGUGUGGGGGGUGUCAACUCCCUCCG
rnacentral:rRNA from 1 species